GGGCGUAAAGCGAGCGCAGGCGGUUUUUUAAGUCUGAUGUGAAAGCCUUCGGCUUAACCGAAGAAGUGCAUCGGAAACUGGGAGACUUGAGUGCAGAAGAGGACAGUGGAACUCCAUGUGUAGCGGUGGAAUGCGUAGAUAUAUGGAAGAACACCAGUGGCGAAGGCGGCUGUCUAGUCUGUAACUGACGCUGAGGCUCGAAAGCAUGGGUAGCGAACAGGAUUAGAUACCCUGGUAGUCCAUGCCGUAAACGAUGAGUGCUAAGUGUUGGAGGGUUUCCGCCCUUCAGUGCUGCAGCUAACGCAUUAAGCACUCCGCCUGGGGAGUACGACCGCAAGGUUGAAACUCAAAGGAAUUGACGGGGGCCCGCACAAGCGGUGGAGCAUGUGGUUUAAUUCGAAGCUACGCGAAGAACCUU
rnacentral:rRNA from 2 species